rnacentral:lncRNA from 1 species
GGCGAAGGCACAUUUUCAACCUACUUCAAAAUAUCUUUGUUUUUGUGCAAACAUUGAUUGCUCAAAUGUGAAGAUGAGUGUUCUUCUCAAUAUUUUUCAGGAAGGAAAGGCUCCUGAUCACAAUACUGAUGACGAGAUGCGAGAUGCCACCCAUUUGCAAGAUGUAAAUGUGCCAGAGCUCAAAAGGAGAAGAUUGAGAGACGGAGAGUCUGAGCAUGUCGGGGAUGUUACCGAGAGGAGGAGGGAAAACAGCCCAAAGCCACAUACAAUCGUGAGCGAACGGACAUCGACUGAAAGAGAGAUAGAGAUUAAAAUACAGUAUUCCCAUGUCGUUGAUGUUACUGAAAGGAGCCACCGCAACCCAAACCCCCAUACGAAUGUGAGCGAGCACAGAGCAACUGACAGAGAGAGACUGUAAUUUUAUUAAAAUAUAUUCAUUCAUAUUUUUUCGAUUCAGUCCCUUUAUUAAUCCGGGGUUGCCACAGUGGAAUGAAACGCAAAUUAUCAAGCAUCCUCAUUUUUGUUUCUGUACAAACAAUUAUUGCUCAAAUGUGGUGAUGCGUGUGUUCUUUUCAAUAUUUUUCAGUCUUCCGAUGACAGCGAUGUGACAGUAACGUGAGAACCCACUCCAGAAAGAGACCUACGUAUUCCUGAGCUGAAUAGAACCGAAAGUGUGAUCGUAAGUUUCUUUGAAUAUUUUAGCACAUUUAAUUAAACGCACAUCUUUGGAGACUUGGUGUGAAAAAAACAAGUGUCUUAAUUUUAAAUAGUGACUUUGUAUAGCUACAGUCGACU